GUGAACGCUGGCGGUAGGCCUAACACAUGCAAGUCGAACGGCAGCACAGUAAGAGCUUGCUCUUACGGGUGGCGAGUGGCGGACGGGUGAGGAAUACAUCGGAAUCUACUUUUUCGUGGGGGAUAACGUAGGGAAACUUACGCUAAUACCGCAUACGACCUACGGGUGAAAGCAGGGGAUCUUCGGACCUUGCGCGAUUGAAUGAGCCGAUGUCGGAUUAGCUAGUUGGCGGGGUAAAGGCCCACCAAGGCGACGAUCCGUAGCUGGUCUGAGAGGAUGAUCAGCCACACUGGAACUGAGACACGGUCCAGACUCCUACGGGAGGCAGCAGUGGGGAAUAUUGGACAAUGGGCGCAAGCCUGAUCCAGCCAUACCGCGUGGGUGAAGAAGGCCUUCGGGUUGUAAAGCCCUUUUGUUGGGAAAGAAAAGCAGCAGGUUAAUACCCCGCUGUUCUGACGGUACCCAAAGAAUAAGCACCGGCUAUCUUCGUG
rnacentral:rRNA from 1 species